GCCAGGAAUGGAACACAUGCCAUAGCAGUGGCCCAAGACACUGCAGCAGCAAUGCCAGAUCCUUAAUCUGCUGUGCCACAAGAGAACUCCAAAGGACAGUUACCUUCUGUCUCUUUUCUGUCUCGUCAUGUUUCUGCCUGAACUGUGCUAAGAAAUAAAUUGUAUGCCUAGUGUCUGACAGGUUGGGGAGGGGAAUGCCAGGUUGGCAGGGCUGCACCAACCCACAUGUGUAGGCUCCAAAAGCCCAAGGCAGCCUGGGGACCUCUGAUACAGGGGUCAUGGGCCCAGGUUUUCCCAACCACGGUCCCAAACAGCCUAACAGAACACCUUGACUGGGCGUUUGGCAUCUUUGCCGUGUUAAUUCUUGGCCUGGCCCUUGUCUUUACUGUCUCAGUGUAGGAGAUGAGGGUUUCUUUGUGUGCAACCACAGAGACUCUGGUUGUCAUGGUCUGUUGGUAGCCAUCAGCUGUCCACUAUUUUUCUAACGGUAUCAGUAGCACUAAGGAAUAGCUACCGAAUUCCAUUACCCUUCCUUCUAGCUAAUAUUUCCAUCAUAUGUAAAAGGCCACUGGUGUAUUCCGUUUCACACUGGUUCACUCUCCUGCUUCAACACGUGCGAAAAAUUAACAAGUAGGGAACUUUGUGCCAGAGGCUGAGUGUUCCACCCUCGAGUGGCGAGUGAUUCAGCCUCAAACCCCCUCUCCUCACCUGCCUUCUCAAACACCUGCACCAACUGUGGCAGGGGGUCUCCAGAAGCAGCCAGUGAGCUGGCGUCCAGUACAAGGUGCUUCUCAGUGUAGGAGAUGAGGGUUUCUUUGUGUGCAACCAAAGAGACUCUGGUUGUCGUGGUCUGCUGGUAGCCGUCAGCUGUCCACUAUUUUUCUAACGCUAUCGUAGCAUCACCACCUGAGAAAGGGAGGGAAAAGAAGCAGGGUCGGGCAAAGGAAGCAGAGGGCUACACCAGCCCAUCUGCGGCGUGGCCAGUCCGUUGUGCUCUGGAGCAAGCGCCUGCUUAUCAGAGGGCUGGCUUGCUUUAAGCUGCUUUUUAUUUAUUUUUGGCACGCUAAAGCUCCCCGGCCAGAGAUCCAGCUCGCGCCACAGCAGCGACAACGCCAGAUCCUUGCCCGGUGCUCCGCAAGGGACCUCCGCCGAGGCCGUUUACGCUGGGUCCAAGGGCCGGACCUGGGUGGCUCUGCCCGCCCUGCUCAGCCCCCUCAAGGAGGGCACGGCCGAGGCAGGCGGCCCCGUGACGGGGCCAGGCGUUCACGUCCACUGCAGCGCCCCCGCACCCGGCUGCUGCGCUUCCAGCCGACGCCGGGGAACCGCCGCUGCAGGACUCUCGGGGUGCGUGGGGCUGCCGCAGUUCGGCUCCGCCAAGCCCCCCGGCUCCGGACACCUGCUGUUCCGCGAGGUCUGACCUCGAACUUCCCAAGGUCACCCCGCGGCCUGAAAUGGCUGCUGAGCUCCUCCCUGUCAAUACUGGGCCUUCCGAGCUGUCUGGACAAGCACCCGAGUCACAGCGCGCCGACCCAGGACGGUCAGAGGCGCCCAGGGGGUCCCGCUGUGCGGCCCAUCCGUGCUGGGAGGAGCGCCUGCGGACGGGGACCGCGAGAGUGCAGGCCCGGCGCACCCCGCCUCCUCAGCGUCCGCGCUGCCCGCCUGCCUGAGGCGCGCGACUCCGACGACGGGGUGAGGGGCGUUCGCACCCAAGACGCGAACACCGAGCUCGCCGCGCUCAGAGACGCGCCAGGGCGCGGACCAG
ensembl:lncRNA